AGUGAACGCUGGCGGUAGGCCUAACACAUGCAAGUCGAACGGCAGCACAGGAGAGCUUGCUCUCUGGGUGGCCAGUGGCGGACGGGUGAGGAAUACAUCGGAAUCUACUCUGUCGUGGGGGAUAACGUAGGGAAACUUACGCUAAUACCGCAUACGACCUACGGGUGAAAGCAGGGGAUCUUCGGACCUUGCGCGAUUGAAUGAGCCGAUGUCGGAUUAGCUAGUUGGCGGGGUAAAGGCCCACCAAGGCGACGAUCCGUAGCUGGUCUGAGAGGAUGAUCAGCCACACUGGAACUGAGACACGGUCCAGACUCCUACGGGAGGCAGCAGAGGGGAAUAUUGGACAAUGGGCGCAAGCCUGAUCCAGCCAUACCGCGUGGGUGAAGAAGGCCUUCGGGUUGUAAAGCCCUUUUGUUGGGAAAGAAAUCCAGCUGGCUAAUACCCGGUUGGGAUGACGGUACCCAAAGAAUAAGCACCGGCUAGCUUCGUGCCAGCAGCAGCCGCGG
rnacentral:rRNA from 1 species